CAAGAAAACAUUUUAUUUUUCCCCCCUUCUUCACUUCCCCUUGUUUUAGAAUCCCGAUUGCCAAACCCUUCGAAAUUUCCUUCUUCAACCUCCAUUUUCGAAUACCUGUAAGACACCCCUCCCAAUUUGCUCACGGCGAUUUAGGAGCUCCAAAUUCCAUAUCGUUGUAGCCUCGUCGGCCACUUGGUUCUCCUUUUGCGGAACCCAGGCCCCUCGUUCCAGACGCGAAGUGAACCAAAGUUUGUGCCUCCACGUCUGUUUUCGAGUGAUUUUUUUGGGAGGUCCAAUAUCGGCGGUCAUGAUCAUCGAUCUACCUUGCAACGGGACUCUCUUUCAAGCACAACAGAUAUCUAUCAUGGUUCCCUUUAAGAAGUAUCUCUCCCCCUUCAUCCUCGCAUGAAUUGCUUAUUGCAAAAAUUGUGCACUUUGGUGGUUUUGAUUAAGCGUAUGAAAUAGGGGGAUCAUCUAAUUGAUUUACCAAGUGAUCAAUAGCAACACCACAGAUUUGACAAUGGACAUGAUAUCUACAUAUAAAAGCUAUGAAGAUUUUGUCUCAAGUUGAAUAUUUGGCUGCAGAUGAACUUUCUGAUACUUCUGGCAUAAAAAAAUGGACAUGUAAAUGUUCUUAUACAUAUCAAGGAAAUCAUAGUUAUGUUGUUUAUGACUGGCCAGCUGAUCAGGUCUUUAUGUUAAUGGUUGAUAUGAUUGAUAAACCUGCUCUGCUGCCAAGAAAACAAGACAUCCAAGCCUUAUGGCUAACUAUCUCACAAUUUGUUUUUUAAACUUCUAGCUAGGUGUGAGUGGUGUAGAGACUAAUUUGUUUAACACUUGGUUUUGGAAGCUUUGAGUUCUUUGUGACCCAUUGAGAGCUCUAGCAAACAUUUUAUUGCAUUUAUCGUGAUCGUCUAUGUUUAGUUGCCUUACCAUUUCAAGUGACAUGAUAUUUAAAUUUUGUAAAUUCAUGUUUUCCAUUGUUGAUUAAGUGCUUCACCUGGUUUGUGGAAAUCUGUGGUGUGUGCAUGUGUCUUAUUUGUGU